rnacentral:rRNA from 1 species
GGGGGGGGUUAACGGGAGGGGUCGGGCGGAAAUGCCCUUUGGGUAUUCACGAGCGGAAGACGGUUGACCUUCUCGUGAUCAUCUGCCCUCACUUCGGGAUAUCUUCGGCAUCCGAGAUUAAUACCGGAUACGACGAGUCCCGCAUGGGAUCUGUGUGGAAAGAUUUUUUGGUGGGGGAUGUGUUCGCGGCCUAUCAACUUGUUGGUGGGGUAAUGGCCUACCAAGGCUUCAACGGGUAGCCGGCCUGAGAGGGUGACCGGCCACACUGGGACUGAGACACGGCCCAGACUCCUACGGGAGGCAGCAUGGGGAUUAUUGGACAAUGGGCGAAACCUGAUCCUAUUUCUAGAGCGAGGGAUGUCCGCCUUCUGGUUGUUACCUCUUUCUGCAGGGACGAAGCGCAUGUGACGGUACCUGCAGAAGAAGCACCGGCCAACUACGUGCCAUC